rnacentral:rRNA from 1 species
AACGAACGCUGGCGGCAUGCCUAACACAUGCAAGUCGAACGAGACCUUCGGGUCUAUUGGCGCACGGGUGCGUAACGCGUGGGAACCUGCCCUUAUGUUCGGCAUAACUCCCCGAAAGGGGUGCUAAUACCGGAUAAUGUCUUCGGACCAAAGAUUUAUCGCCUUUGGAUGGGCCCGCGUUGGAUUAGCUAGUUGGUAGGGUAAAAGCCUACCAAGGCGACGAUCCAUAGCUGGUCUGAGAGGAUGAUCAGCCACACUGGGACUGAGACACGGCCCAGACUCCUACGGGAGGCAGCAGUGGGGAAUAUUGGACAAUGGGCGAAAGCCUGAUCCAGCAAUGCCGCGUGAGUGAUGAAGGCCUUAGGGUUGUAAAGCUCAUUUACCCGGGAUGAUAAUGACAGUACCGGGAGAAUAAGCUCCGGCUAACUCCGUG